AUUGAACGCUGGCGGCAGGCCUAACACAUGCAAGUCGAGCGGUAACACAGAGGAGCUUGCUCCUUGGGUGACGAGCGGCGGACGGGUGAGUAAUGCCUGGGGAUCUGCCCGAUAGAGGGGGAUAACUACGGGAAACCGUAGCUAAUACCGCAUAAUGUCUACGGACCAAAGUGGGGGCUCUUCGGACCUCCUGCUAUCGGAUGAACCCAGGUGGGAUUAGCUAGUUGGUGAGGUAAUGGCUCACCAAGGCGACGAUCUCUAACUGGUUUGAGAGAAUGACCAGUCACACUGGAACUGAGACACGGUCCAGACUCCUACGGGAGGCAGCAGUGGGGAAUAUUGCACAAUGGGCGCAAGCCUGAUGCAGCCAUGCCGCGUGUGUGAAGAAGGCCUUCGGGUUGUAAAGCACUUUCAGCGGGGAGGAAGGGUCACUAGUUAAUACCUAGUGGCAUUGACGUUACUCGCAGAAGAAGCACCGGCUAACUCCGUGCCAGCCGCCGCGGUAAAAC
rnacentral:rRNA from 1 species